CCCACCCAGCCACCCGCCCACCUGGGAAAGUGAGGAAGGGAGUUCAUCUGAGGGGACACAGGUGGACUUCUGGACACACGGAACUAGGGAAAGCACCAAGACAACCGGGAGUGGGAAAUGUGGAAGGGUUGACUUCUGGGGGCCCACGGCUGGAGACCUGGAAACAUAAACCACACCUGACUAUGACCACACCACACCAUGAUCACACACACACACCCGCCCACCCCAAAAACCCAACCACCCA